GUAGGUGAACCUGCGGAGGGAUCAUUACCGAGUGAGGGCCUCCGGGUCCGACCUCCAACCCCAUGUUAACCGACCCUGUUGCCUCGGGGGCGACCCGCCGUGCCUUCGGGCGCCGGGGCCCCCGAUGGACCACAUAACACUGCAUCUUUGCGUCCGAGUCAAUAUUUGAAUUAAUCAAAACUUUCAACAACGGAUCUCUUGGUUCUGGCAUCGAUGAAGAACGCAGCAUCUGACUGACUCAGGUCUGUAU
rnacentral:misc_RNA from 1 species